UGAUUUCUCCACCACAUUUUCAUGGUUUCAAUGUAAAAUUCUCCUUGCUAUCAGGCUAUUCUUGUUAGUUUCUGCCUGAUGGUGAACCCUGGCAUUAAAAAGUACAAACGUGACACACAGAUCUUUGAUCUCAUCCUGGAGGUUGUGAUCUACUGGAAUAUUAUUCAUUUUGCUUUUGGGGUGUUUUUGUUGGAUGUCCACUCAUGAUUUUAACAUCAAUUGUAACCUUACCCGUGGUCAAGUGGCAGUCUCGUCAAUCAUUUGAUCCCUUACCACCUGCUGAGGAUUGAGACAGACCUGCCAUUCUGAGACGGCACAACACUUUAGCAGCAUUAACUGCUAGCAGCCAUCUCUGUAAACAGACAGGUAUAUCAGGCCACGGGGAGCCUGUGCCUGUCUCAGGCGUCUUCAGGCAUCAAGGCAGGAUACACCCUGG